rnacentral:tRNA from 1 species
GGCCUUUUCGUUCAACGGUUAGGACCCGGGCCUUUGACACCCGUGAUGUGAGUUCGAGUCUCACGAGGGCUGCCA